AUUGAACGCUGGCGGCAUGCCUUACACAUGCAAGUCGAACGGCAGCACUUGUGCUUGCACCUGGUGUCGAGUGGCGUAAGGGUUAUUAAUACAUCGUAACAUGUCCUGUUGUGGGGGAUAGCUCUGCGAAAGCCGGAUUAAUACCGCAUACGUUCCACGAAUGAAAUCUUGGGACCUUCGGGCCUCGCGCUGUGGGUUUGUCCGAUGGCUGAUUAGCUAGUUGGUGGGGUAAAGGCCUACCAAGGCGACGAUCAGUAGCUGGUCUGAGAGGACGACCAGCCACACUGGGACUGAGACACGGCACAGACUCCUACGGGAGGCAGCAGUGGGGAAUGUAGGACAAUGGGAGGAAGCCUGAUCCAGCAAUGCCGCGUGUGUGAAGAAGGCCUUCGGGUAGUAAAGCAAUUUUGCUCGGAAAGAAAACCUUGGAGCUAAAACAGUAGGGGGAUGACGGUACCGGAAGAAUAAGCACCGGCUAACUACGUG
rnacentral:rRNA from 1 species